rnacentral:rRNA from 1 species
UCCUACGGGGGGCAGCAGUAGGGAAUUUUCGUCAAUGGGCGCAAGCCUGAACGAGCAAUGCCGCGUGAACGAGGAAGGUCUUCGGGUCGUAAAGUUCUGUUGAAGGGGAAAAAGAGCGGAGAGAGGAAAUGGUCUCCGAUUGAUAUUACCCUUCGAGGAAGUCACGGCUAACUACGUGCCAGCAGCCGCGGUAAUACGUAGGUGGCGAGCGUUAUCCGGAAUGAUUGGGCGUAAAGGGUGCGUAGGCGGCCUGCUAAGUCUGGAGUGAAAGGUACCGGCUCAACCGGUACAGGCACUGGAAACUG